GGACGAUGUAGAGGGCGCGCUCCUCAUCCAUGGCCGCAGGUGCGGGGGAGCCGCGGCCGCUCUGCGCGCCCAAGCCGCUGCCUCCAGAUCUUGGACUGAAUCCUUUAACCCAGGGGUCCCCAACCCCAGGGCCAGUACCGGUCAGUGGCCUGUUAGGAACUGGGCUGCACAAGAGGGAGAAAGGGGACUCAGGAUGGUUGCCCAAUAAUCCCAAUCUUUGAAGUACUCCU